rnacentral:rRNA from 1 species
ACGGCGAGUGAAGCGGCAACAGCUCAAAUUUGAAAUCUGGCUUCGGCCCGAGUUGUAAUUUGCAGAGGAUGCUUUUGGUGCGGUGCCUUCCGAGUUCCCUGGAACGGGACGCCACAGAGGGUGAGAGCCCCGUAUGGUCGGACACCAAUCCUGUGUAAAGCUCCUUCGACGAGUCGAGUAGUUUGGGAAUGCUGCUCUAAAUGGGAGGUAAAUCUCUUCUAAAGCUAAAUACCGGCCAGAGACCGAUAGCGCACAAGUAGAGUGAUCGAAAGAUGAAAAGCACCUUGAAAAGGGGGUUAAACAGUACGUGAAAUUGUUGAAAGGGAAGCACUUGUGACCAGACUUGGGCCGGGCGGCUCAUCAGGGGUUCUCCCCUGUGCAUUCCGCCCGGUACAGGCCAGCAUCGGUUCUUACCGGGGGAUAAGAACGGCAGGAACGUGGCUCCCUCUCGGGGGAGUGUUAUAGCCUGCCGUACGAUACCCUGGCGGGGACCGAGGUUCGCGCUUCCGCAAGGAUGCUGGCGUAAUGGUUACUAGUGACCCGUCUUGAAACACGGACCAAGGAGUCGUCCAUUAGAGCGAGCGUUUGGGUGUAAAACCCGCACGCGUAAUGAAAGUGAAAUUAGGUGAGAGCUUCGGCGCAUCAUCGACCGAUCCUGAUGUUCUCGGAUGGAUUUGAGUAAGAGUUUUAACGGACGGACCCGAAAGACAGUGAACUAUGCUUGUAUAGGGUGAAGCCAGAGGAAACUCUGGUGGAGGCUCGCAGC